UACAGAGGGUGCAAGCGUUAAUCGGAAUUACUGGGCGUAAAGCGUGCGUAGUCGGUAUUGAGAGUCGCGGGUGAAAUCCCAGGGCUUAACCCUGGAACUGCCUGCGAGACCUCAGUACUAGAGUGUGAGAGGGGAUAGUGGAAUGCCAAGUGUAGCGGUGAAAUGCGUAGAGAUUUGGCGGAACACCGGUGGCGAAGGCGGCUAUCUGGCUCACAACUGACGAUCAGGCACGAAAGCGUGGGGAGCAAACAGG
rnacentral:rRNA from 1 species